rnacentral:lncRNA from 1 species
CUAGUGAGGAACGUAGCUCUGUACUUGAAGCACAGAAAGCGGAAUGACAUGACUGGCAUUUAGGGUGCGCGGAAAAAAGCAGAGAAGACACCUUUUGUGUCAUUGGUGUCGUCUCUCCACUGAAGAGCUGCAAGUUUCAGUGACCGUGAACCAUGCUUUCCUAAGACUUUGCGAGGUCCUCUUCCUACAACCGACAGAUUUAUCGAUUCUGCCGCUGCUGAUGCUUGUCGGGGAUGUUCUGCUCUCGCGAGUCGAAAAACAAGAGAGUCAGGGGCAUGGGAAACCAGUAGAUUAUCAGCAGUCAGGCACCACACAGAAGAUACAUACUUGUGGCUUCUUUUGUCUCUGUGUAGCUUUGUAUGUGUCGGUUUCGUUGAGGUCGAAGAGUGCCUCGGAAUCAGAUGAGGAGAAGUGGAAGAGUGUUUUGCUCUUGAGCCGAUGUAGGAAAGCCCUUGUUUGAUUCGUGGAAUGUGAGAAUAUCUCGCGAUUCUGUGUAAAUCUACUUAUUCUGCAUCUAUCCUGCAUCUAUCAGCCUCUAUAUCGAAUCGACGUCCAUGUCUACCUAGUGUAUAUCGAUAUACAUCUUCUGUAUCUCUCCUCUACGAUAUAAUGGUACUCAUGUCGCAGUCUGUUCGUUUGCGCCUCUUGAACCUCCCUCCCGUGGCCGUCAGAAAGCACUACAGAUGUUUCCAUACGAAACUGCAUUCUUUCCGGCCGCCCUAAACCCUUCGUCUUACCCGCGGGGCGCUUUUGCACUUUUGUUCAACCUGAACAGCAGCAAAUUCCCCGUGAUCAGCUACAGAGAAUUGCUACUGAGCAUGCUGGCGUGUUGUGUGCUCGCAUAAUCGCGGUGUGUACUUGCUUAUCCCACUCCUGGGUUCUCCGUGUAAAUGCUUCCGUCUACAUUCCGAUUCACAGAAGUCUCGGCACGAGACAGGUGAUUAACAACUUCCUGCG